rnacentral:lncRNA from 1 species
GUCUGACUUGCACAGAGGCCACAGCUAAUCAUUUCAGGAGCAGCUAUAGUGAAAGAUAUUGAGGGACAGUUUGGGAGGAGGACUGAGGGGAAUGACACAUUGAAUGGACUUGCCUGGUUUUUACACGUACUUUGUCCAUACUUAGACUGCAUAGAAAGCUUGGCUGUGUAUCGACUCUUUUAAAAGGGAGAAUUGCUUGCUUCCUAUGUUCCACAGCUUGUGUUAAUAAAGAAGUAAUCAUCAUCUGUCCCUCCCAGGUUUCCCUGAUGGUCUCAGCAGCUUGCUCCAGGCUGUUUGCCUCGUUGUCUCCUGGCCAAGCUUGCUGUCAGGGACUCUGGCUUUGCAACAGAGCCACAGUGAAAAUGGGGGAGCUGGAGGAUCAGAUACAGGGUGAUGGGCAAACAUCUGAACACACAGGUGGAUGGAAGGAGGGGUAGCAAUCACAUUGCCACUUGGUACGUGCACCUUGGCAGAAGGUGGUUAAUCGCCAGUUAGCAGGCGUUCCUUCUUAAAAGGCACGGGCAGGACGGAGCAGGAGCAUGCUGCUUGCAUUGCAUGUGGCCUUUUGCAUUCGACAGGAGCAAUGUAUUAAAAAGAGCGGCUGGAAGCCUGAUGUCACCUGAUGUCACCUACCUUCCUCCCCUGCAAGUUUUAAUUAUAGCUCCGGACUUGGCUGAGACAUGUCACUGGGCCUCGUGCUAAGACAGCUUCUUUAUAACUAAAAUUGGUGUCCAAGGAGGAAGCGUGUAUGGCAAGAUGUUGAAACACAAAUGCAUUUUAUAAAAGUACUUCUGGGUGGAGCUUCAGAAUUAAGCUAGAUCUCAUAGUAAGACAAAGAAAUUAGGCCAACCAGCAAUCUGUCUUUACAUAUUUCUUUAUUUUUUUCCUGGCUUCCAAGUUAACCGAAAAAGCUGAGAGGUGGCCCAUGUGGAGCAAUGGACUUGUGAGUGCAGGAGCUGCAUGAUUUCAGCCAUGAGACAACUUAUAUCUGAUCUCCUUGCACAGGAAGAAGUUAUUUCAAGCGCAUUAUUUGCAACCCGUCUAAAGGACAUUUUCAGCUGGAGUCCUUCAGCAUAGGCGGGGAGUUCUAAUUUCAGCAGGCAUGGGGUGAGGCUUUGCAAUGCUCCUCACAGAUAUUGCUGUACAGAGCAAUGGCUUGGUCUUACAGCCACGGAAGAAAUAUGUAAAUAAUUUUUCUGUAUCUCAGAUGUGAACUGUCGUGUAGCCCUGUGGUUCUUAAGUCACUGCUUGAGGCCACUGGGUGGAGACAGAGCUGGACAGAGCUGGACUUUGGGAGUCCCUAUUGUCUUAUCCGCCUUCUUUCCUAAGCCCUGCUGUAAGUAAGCAGAGACACAGCUGGAAUGGAAAUGGAAAAUGCAGCUGCAAUUAAACUUCUGUUCCCAAAGCCUUUGCAGGUUGUGUUUUUGGUGUCCCAGGUGGAUGUCUUGUAGUCCGGUGAGGCCAAAACAGCGGAGAUGUGGUUUUAUUUUACCUUUGGAAUAUAUGUGCAAAUUCUUAUAAUAUCUGCUUCAUAAAAUUGAGGGUUUGUAACAGUGGAGGGAGUGCCUUCAAAAUAGCAUGCAAACAUUUUGUUAAAGACUUAGUGCUUUUUUUUUUUUUCUUGAAACAUCCUCUUGGGGCAUUUAAAAUCAUCUGUUUUCAAACUUCAGAAACUUUCUCUCUACUGGGGCUAAGUUCUGUCAUCCAAAAUCCCUUUUCAUGUGCUCUUGUAAAAUAAAGCAGCUUCGGUACGGGCA